AGAGUUUGAUCCUGGCUCAGAUUGAACGCUGGCGGCAUGCCUUACACAUGCAAGUCGAACGGCAGCACGGGAGCAAUCCUGGUGGCGAGUGGCGAACGGGUGAGUAAUACAUCGGAACGUGUCCUGUAGUGGGGGAUAGCCCGGCGAAAGCCGGAUUAAUACCGCAUACGAUCUGUGGGUGAAAGCGGGGGAUCUUCGGACCUCGCGCUACAGGGGCGGCCGAUGGCAGAUUAGCUAGUUGGUGGGGUAAAGGCCUACCAAGGCGACGAUCUGUAGCUGGUCUGAGAGGACGACCAGCCACACUGGGACUGAGACACGGCCCAGACUCCUACGGGAGGCAGCAGUGGGGAAUUUUGGACAAUGGGCGAAAGCCUGAUCCAGCAAUGCCGCGUGUGUGAAGAAGGCCUUCGGGUUGUAAAGCACUUUUGUCCGGAAAGAAAACCUCGUGGUUAAUACCCGUGGGGGAUGACGGUACCGGAAGAAUAAGCACCGGCUAACUACGUGCCAGCAGCCGCGGUAAUACGUAGGGUGCAAGCGUUAAUCGGAAUUACUGGGCGUAAAGCGUGCGCAGGCGGUUCGCUAAGACAGAUGUGAAAUCCCCGGGCUUAACCUGGGAACUGCAUUUGUGACUGGCGGGCUAGAGUAUGGCAGAGGGGGGUAGAAUUCCACGUAGCAGUGAAAUGCGUAGAGAUGUGGAGGAAUACCGAUGGCGAAGGCAGCCCCCUGGGCCAAUACUGACGCUCAUGCACGAAAGCGUGGGGAGCAAACAGGAUUAGAUACCCUAGUAGUCC
rnacentral:rRNA from 1 species